rnacentral:sRNA from 1 species
AUAGCGGACUGCCAAAGACAGCAGGUGCCGUAAGGCUUAAGGGUAACACGCCUGCCGAGGGAGAUACUUUUUCAUGUAGAGCAUGAUUUUUCAGGUGCUUCCUCUUUAUGCAGAGGAAGCACUUUUUUCAUA